rnacentral:rRNA from 1 species
GAUGAACGCUGGCGGCGUGCCUAAUACAUGCAAGUCGAGCGAACGGACGAGAAGCUUGCUUCUCUGAUGUUAGCGGCGGACGGGUGAGUAACACGUGGAUAACCUACCUAUAAGACUGGGAUAACUUCGGGAAACCGUAGCUAAUACCGGAUAAUAUUUUGAACCGCAUGGUUCAAAAGUGAAAGACGGUCUUGCUGUCACUUAUAGAUGGAUCCGCGCUGCAUUAGCUAGUUGGUAAGGUAACGGCUUACCAAGGCAACGAUGCAUAGCCGACCUGAGAGGGUGAUCGGCCACACUGGAACUGAGACACGGUCCAGACUCCUACGGGAGGCAGCAGUAGGGAAUCUUCCGCAAUGGGCGAAGGCCUGACGGAGCAACGCCGCGUGAGUGAUGAAGGUCUUCGGAUCGUAAAACUCUGUUAUUAGGGAAGAACAUAUGUGUAAGUAACUGUGCACAUCUUGACGGUACCUAAUCAGAAAGACACGGCUAACUACGUG